GGGCCCGUAGCUCAGCUGGUUAGAGCGUUAGUAUGGCAUACUAAAGGUCGCGGGUUCGAGCCCCGCCGGGUCCACCA
rnacentral:tRNA from 1 species